GAUGAACGCUGGCGGCGUGCCUAAUACAUGCAAGUCGAGCGAAUGGAUUAAGAGCUUGCUCUUAUGAAGUUAGCGGCGGACGGGUGAGUAACACGUGGGUAACCUGCCCAUAAGACUGGGAUAACUCCGGGAAACCGGGGCUAAUACCGGAUAACAUUUUGAACCGCAUGGUUCGAAAUUGAAAGGCGGCUUCGGCUGUCACUUAUGGAUGGACCCGCGUCGCAUUCGCUAGUUGGUGAGGUAACGGCUCACCAAGGCAACGAUGCGUAGCCGACCUGAGAGGGUGAUCGGGCACACUGGGACUGAGACACGGCACAGACUCCGACGGGAGGCAGCAGUAGGGAAUCUUCCGCAAUGGACGAAAGUCUGACGGAGCAACGCCGCGUGAGUGAUGAAGGCUUUCGGGUCGUAAAACUCUGUUGUUAGGGAAGAACAAGUGCUAGUUGAAUAAGCUGGCACCUUGACGGUACCUAACCAGAAAGCCACGGCUAACUACGUGCCAGCCGCCGCGGUAA
rnacentral:rRNA from 1 species